rnacentral:rRNA from 1 species
GUGAGGAAUAUUGGUCAAUGGGCGGAAGCCUGAACCAGCCAAGUAGCGUGCAGGACGACGGCCCUAUGGGUUGUAAACUGCUUUUUCGCGGGGAUAAAGAGGGGGAUGCGUCCCCCGUUGCAGGUACCGCGUGAAUAAGGACCGGCUAAUUCCGUGCCAGCAGCCGCGGUAAUACGGAAGGUCCGGGCGUUAUCCGGAUUUAUUGGGUUUAAAGGGAGCGCAGGCCGUAUGGUAAGCGUGUUGUGAAAUGCCGUGGCUCAACCAUGGCACUGCAGCGCGAACUGCCGUACUUGAGUACGCUGGAGGUAGGCGGAAUUCGUGGUGUAGCGGUGAAAUGCUUAGAUAUCACGAAGAACCCCGAUUGCGAAGGCAGCCUACCGUAGCGGCACUGACGCUGAGGCUCGAAAGCGUGGGUAUCGAACAGGAUUAGAAACCCUAGUAGUCC